rnacentral:rRNA from 1 species
CCUACGGGAGGCAGCAGUGGGGAAUAUUGGACAAUGGGGGGAACCCUGAUCCAGCCAUGCCGCGUGUGUGAAGAAGGCCCUCGGGUUGUAAAGCACUUUCAGUGAGGAAGAACGCCUGGUGGUUAAUACCCAUCAGGAAAGACAUCACUCACAGAAGAAGCACCGGCUAACUCCGUGCCAGCAGCCGCGGUAAUACGGAGGGUGCGAGCGUUAAUCGGAAUUACUGGGCGUAAAGCGCGCGUAGGUGGCUUGAUAAGCCGGUUGUGAAAGCCCCGGGCUCAACCUGGGAACGGCAUCCGGAACUGUCAAGCUAGAGUGCAGGAGAGGAAGGUGGAAUUCCCGGUGUAGCGGUGAAAUGCGUAGAGAUCGGGAGGAAUACCAGUGGCGAAGGCGGCCUUCUGGACUGACACUGACACUGAGGUGCGAAAGCGUGGGUAGCAAACAGGAUUAGAUACCCUGGUAGUC